rnacentral:piRNA from 1 species
UAGGUGUGGCAAGCAGGGACACUUGA